UUUAUUUAUUUAUUUUUUAAUGUUUUUUUAAAUUGCAAAAAAUAUAGAAAUAUACAAGAACAGGGAAGCAGGACAUGAAUAUAUUCCUACAAAGAACAAUCAGAAAAAUAAAGACAGAAAACGAAUAUUCUGGAUUUGCAUACAUCAAAUUAUGGAAUUAUCUAUACAGAAAACUGCAAAAAUAAAAUUACACCAUUUUAGAAAAGCUGUCAUAGUGCAUCAAACAUUUGGCACUCUUUUUGUUAUUUGUAAGUCUUAAAGAUGAAACAAGAGAAUCAAAUUCAGAAAGAAAAAGGGGGAAAGACAAAGGAGAUUUAAGCCAUUUUUACUUAUGAAUGAAGAAUUUUGCAUUCAAUAUGAGAAAAUUAACAACAUAUUCAACAGGUAGUAGCUUUGGAUUUUCAUAAUAAAAAAUAACAUCUUUGAGGACGAAGGUAUGGGUCAUAUUUGUAAGGUUAGAAACAUAGUCAAGCCAUAAUUUGUUGGUAACACCACAAUCAAAAAACAAAUGGGAUGCUGUUUCCUCAACAAAACCACAAAACGAGCAAGAUUCAUCAACAUCAGAAUAUUUAGAAAUAGACAAAUCAACGGGAUAAAUUUUAUGAAGACUUUGUUAGAUAUACACAAUUUACUUGGCAAAAGCCAGGCCUUACUCCAAUUUAUAUUUGUUAUAAAGGAACCCCAGUAGAAUUUCCCUCUUGGAGUAAUCUUUCUCUUUGUCUGAAAUAUUUUGCAUUUCCGAUCUAAAAUAUCAAUACCACCCAAACGUAAAGCCGGAUAAACACUGUUGCCUUUACUGAAUUUGAAGUGACUUUUAAUUAAUUGGGUUAAGCCUACUGGUAUGGAUCUCAUCAAAUUAUUAUAUUCCUACAUUUGCUUUUAUUAGGACGUUUCAUUACGGCCAGAUGAUGUAAUUGCGUCAUGACGCAAAGAAUCAUUUAAUCCUUCUUUGGAACAAAGAACAGUUCGAAAGAGUCGAUUCUCUGAAACGAGUGACUUCCCUACGCUGAGCGUAGGCGCGUUCACGAGCGUUUCCUCCUGCCUGCUCCCGCGAAGAAUCAAACAAUGGUCGCGUUCCACGAAAUGACUGUCUAUGAUAUUAACCAACAACCACCACCCUAAAAGCAUGCUAGACUAACCUCUGACAAAAAGAAAGGGGCCUCUGUUGUCGCUUCCUCCUUCACCUCUCCUGACUGAUGGUCACCCUUGAACUCACAUUGUUUGAAGGCUCAGCUUGUUCCACAUCUGAUUUAAUAUCAUGAGGUAUUCCAUUCUCCACACCUGAAGGCUCACCGUCCCCCACCUUCUCAGUGGUCUCUGAGACUAACCUCCACAACUACCCCAAGAUCCUCUGCGCCAUCCCACUUUUCAUCAUAGGCAUCAAACAAGGACUGAAACAGUCGACCUGAGGCAUCCCUCAUUACUGUUAAACAUACAAGAAA